GGGCGAUUAGCUCAGUGGGAGAGCACCACCUUGACACGGUGGGGGUCAGUAGUUCGAUCCUACUAUCGCCCA
rnacentral:tRNA from 2 species